UUGCUGUAGCAACAUAUAUACUAAAAUUAGAAAGAUACAGAGAAAAUUAACAUGGCCUCUUCACAAGAGUGACACACAAAUUUGUGAAGGGUUCCAUAUUUUU
ensembl:snRNA U6 U6 spliceosomal RNA